rnacentral:rRNA from 1 species
AUUGAACGCUGGCGGCAGGCCUAACACAUGCAAGUCGAGCGAGAGGCGGACGGGUGAGUAAUGUCUGGGAAACUGCCUGAUGGAGGGGGAUAACUACUGGAAACGGUAGCUAAUACCGCAUACCAUCAGAUGUGCCCAGAUGGGAUUAGCUAGUAGGGUGGGUUACGGCUCACCUAGGCGACGAUCCGUAACUGGUCUGAGAGGAUGAUCAGACACACUGGAACUGAGACACGGCCCAGACUCCUUGGGGAGGCAGCAGGGGGGAAUAUUGCACAAGGGGCGCAAGCCUGAUGCAGCAAUGCCGCGGGUGUGAAGAAGGCCUUCGGGUUGUAAAGCACUUUCAGCGGGGAGGCGUUACCCGCAGAAGAAGCACCGGCUAACUCCGUGCCAGCAGCCGCGGUAAUUC